rnacentral:rRNA from 1 species
AGCUUGCUCUGCUGGAUCAGUGGCGAACGGGUGAGUAACACGUGAGUAACCUGCCCUUCACUUUGGGAUAACCUCGGGAAAUCGGGGCUAAUACCGGAUACGAGGCACCUUCGCAUGGGGUGUGCCUGGAAAGAUUUAUCGGUGGAGGAUGGACUCGCGGCCUAUCAGCUUGUUGGUGGGGUAAUGGCCCACCAAGGCGACGACGGGUAGCCGGCCUGAGAGGGCGACCGGCCACACUGGGACUGAGAUACGGCCCAGACUCCUACGGGAGGCAGCAGUGGGGAAUAUUGCACAAUGGGCGCAAGCCUGAUGCAGCGACGCCGCGUGGGGGAUGAAGGCCUUCGGGUUGUAAACCCCUUUCAGCAGGGAAGAAGCGAGAGUGACGGUACCUGCAGAAGAAGCGCCGGCUAACUACGUGCCAGCAGCCGCGGUAAUACGUAGGGCGCAAGCGUUGUCCGGAAUUAUUGGGCGUAAAGAGCUCGUAGGCGGUUUGUCGCGUCUGGUGUGAAAACUCAAGGCUCAACCUUGAGCUUGCACCGGGUACGGGCAGACUAGAGUGCGGUAGGGGUGACUGGAAUUCCUGGUGUAGCGGUGGAAUGCGCAGAUAUCAGGAGGAACACCGAUGGCGAAGGCAGGUCACUGGGCCGCAACUGACGCUGAGGAGCGAAAGCAUGGGGAGCGAACAGGAUUAGAUACCCUGGUAGUCCAUGCCGUAAACGUUGGGCACUAGGUGUGGGGCUCAUUCCACGAGUUCCGUGCCGCA